rnacentral:antisense_RNA from 1 species
GCGCGACAGCUUCCACCCGCCUUAGGCAGUAUCAGCCGCGCCGCAGUCGGAGGAAACAGACGCGGGGCCUGAGGCUCCUGGACUUGAGAGGCUGCAGAAAAGGCCCAGGAGGCUGUUGAUGACAUGAACGACCACCAGGAGAAGCUGGAGCAGGCUGAUGCACAGAAGGGCGGAGAAGAGGGACACGUGCCAGACAACAGCUGCAGAGGGCUCCAGGCAGAUGGAGUUCCAGAGCGAACGGUCAUACAGAUAAUUCCUGUCCCAAAAAAUAAGGAGACCAGGGGUCAGGCGAUAAGUAAGGAAAGCCAAACAGGCAACCCCAGUAGAAAACUGGGGUCUCCCCUGACCGGGUCAUGGGACUGGGCUCAUGAGGGUGACCGUUACUGCUCCAUUUGCAAUUUUCUGAGUAUCAGAGGAGCAAGAUGCUAGGAUGUGUGACCCAAAGGAGCUUGCAGUUCGUCUGUGUGUCUUUUUGUCUCUCUCUCUGUCUGAAAAGACCAAGCCCAAGCCUCCACCCAUUUACCUACUAUGCAGGUCUUUGAAUGGGUAACCAUAUUUCCAAGCUUGUGUCUGAUUGAAGGAUGAAACAUCAAACAUGCAAAAAGGACCAUCUUUCAGAGCAACUCCAGAAGUGACAAAGCAAAUCAGGGCUCCAAGUAAAGCCAGGCCACCUGACAACAGAGCAGUAAGCACCUGCGGAGGGAGGAGAAACGCUGAGCUAAGACGGGGUCGCGGCUGGGGAGUCUGUGGGGCGGUCUGCACAGGUCUGACUUCUCUGGUCUCGGUGUUCUUCCGUCCUGUCAUGGGGGAGAAUUCUGUCCAUGGCACCCCCUUUGAAGCAUAACCCAUGUUGGGGAGGCCGUGAGGGGUUUCUAGGAGAGAAAGGACCAAGAAGCAGAAUCGCAGGCCCCGGAUCUCCCUGACUCCGCCUGAGCUGCUCAGCAGCUUGGCAUCACAAACCUUUUGCACAUUACAGCCAUUCAGCCUCUGAGCUAAAGAGGAAGCUACCACAGGCCCACCACUGACUCUUCUAAGGAAAAGCUGCAUUUUCAAAAGUUCCAGGUUCCCAACUCUGAUUCUUCUCUAUUUCAAAUCAAGGAUAAAAAAAAGGAAGGGAGGGAAGGAAGGAAAGAAAGAAGCAGGAAAGAAGGGAAGGAGAGAAGUGGGAGGGAGGGAAAGAAGGGAGAGAAACAGCGAGAGAGAAGCUGCAGCCAAGCUCUGAAAUGACUCCACUUCUGUCGCUGUGUUUCUCCAGCUGAGAGCUUUCUUGGCCAUCAGUCUGUGCUCCCACUGCCCUCCCAGAAAAUAACUGGGUUUCCUUCCUUGACAGGUUUCUAGCCUGCUUCUACAUUGGCUUCUUUCUCGUUCCUUCCUUCCUUCCCUUCCUUCCUUCUUUCUCUCUCUUUCUUUUUGAGACAGAGUCUCACUCUGUCGCCCAGGCUGGAGUACAGUGGCGCGAUCUCAGCUCACUGCAACCUCUGCCUCUGAGUUCAAGCGAUUCUCCUGCCUCAGCCUCCCAAGUAGCUGGGACUACAAGCGUGCGCCACCACACCCAGCUAAUUUUUGUAUUUUUAGUAGAAAUGGGGUUUCACUGGGUUGGUCAUGCCAGUCUCAAUCUCCUGACCUUGUGAUCCACCUGCUUCAGCCUCCCAAAGUGCUGGGAUUACAGGCAUGAGCCACCGUGCCCGGCCCAUAUUGGAUUCUUUCUUAGGGUUCUAGAUUUUUUUUCUCCCUCCCCCAAAAAUGCCUAUUUUAAAAAUGUG